rnacentral:tRNA from 1 species
CGGAUGUAGCCAAGUGGAUCAAGGCAGUGGAUUGUGAAUCCACCAUGCGCGAAUU